rnacentral:lncRNA from 1 species
GGCUAACCUUCCUGAUGAUCUGGAAGCCUCAAAAUGCAUUUACACCCCUCGCCCCCGCCGCAGAUUUGCUUAAAAAUGCCAGAAUGAGCAUGUGCUUAGAAAAAUCAUUUGCUUUUUAGACCCCCCCCACCUCUACCCCCAGCUCCAGCCCCCAACUUGGUAAAAAAAAUUGCAAAGGGAAAGGAUCUAGCCAGGAUGGAGUGGAUGACGACACACACGUGCCCUUUGGAAAAGCUGCGACUGUCAUACGUGACAGCCUAGCUUAAAGGACAGAGCUGAGUGCAAGGGAAUGGGGGGAAACCAGAUGAAACGAAGUGAGAAGCGAACACAAAUAAUUGACACCAGAAGUCAACUGCUGAGCUUUUUGGAAUGAGAUUACAGUGGAAACAGCCAUGCCAAGAAAUCUGCACUGGUAUUCUUGCUUGGUUCUUACUACAUCACAUCGGGAGGUCCAAGCGUUCAUGCCGAGUUUGAUUCCUUUCCUAAGACAAUGACCACCAAAUACCUCCAAGGCAAGAUGCAGUUUCUCUGACUACAUGAAUAAAGUGAGAGAGGCAAAAGCUGCAAAGGAACAAGGGUUUAUCCAACUCACAAUCCUAGGAGCAUGUUGUGGGUUCAGAGCCAGCUCCGAGUUUCAGCUGACUGCCAGUGUCCUUCAGCCAGCCAGAUGGAAUGCUUUCGAGGUACCGUGAGGAAGGUUACUUCUCCAACCCAUAAAUUCUUCCCAACACUACCCAAGCGUGGACAGCAGGACCAGAUGUUUGAGAAGGCCUGGAGGAACCUGCAUCUGAAUUCAAUAUCAUCAAAAUGAAAGAGGGUCAAGAGUUUAGGAAACCGUAUAAAGCAAUAACCACACAAGAUAUUUUAUUAAUAAAUUCUAUCCAGUUUUGACAUGUACUGUCAUACAUCAUAAACAUAACUGGUACACUUUUCCUAUCAUUUGUUGUGAAUUUCUGGAUCUAAGACUACUUCUUUAGUACAAAGGGAACCAGUACAUUAGAUAGAAUUGUGUUAACAAUAAAUGUAUAAAUACAUUAACUGUAAAAUGGUAUAUAAGACUGGGAUUGGAAUGUAAAAAUAAAUUAAUAAAAAAAGCAAAAAUGGCACAUGAUUAAUAACUAUAUGCUUGAUACAAAAUACUUUCAUCCGACUGGGCAUUGGUGGCGCACGCCUUUAAUCCCAG